rnacentral:rRNA from 1 species
GACGGAGGGGGCUAGCGUUGUUCGGAAUCACUGGGCGUAAAGGGCGCGUAGGCGGCCUAGCAAGUCAGGCGUGAAAUCCCGGGGCUUAACCUCGGAACUGCGCUUGAAACUGCAAGGCUUGAGUCUCGGAGAGGAUGGUGGAAUUCCUAGUGUAGAGGUGAAAUUCGUAGAUAUUAGGAGGAACACCGAUGGCGAAGGCAGCCAUCUGGACGAGUACUGACGCUGAGGCGCGAAAGCGUGGGGAGCAAACAGG